rnacentral:rRNA from 1 species
UGAGGAAUAUUGCGCAAUGGGGGCAACCCUGACGCAGCAACGCCGCGUGAGUGAGGAAGGUUUUCGGACCGUAAAGCUCUGUCGAGCGGGAAGAAAUGCAUAGUGGCUAAUAUCCAUUAUGCUUGACGGUACCGCUAAAGGAAGCACCGGCUAACUCCGUGCCAGCAGCCGCGGUAAUACGGGGGGUGCUAGCGUUGUUCGGAAUCAUUGGGCGUAAAGAGCGUGUAGGCGGCUGGAUAAGUCAGAUGUGAAAGCCCUGGGCUUAACCCAGGAAGUGCAUUUGAAACUGUUCAGCUUGAGUAAGGGAGAGGAAAGUGGAAUUCCUGGUGUAGAGGUGAAAUUCGUAGAUAUCAGGAGGAAUACCGGUGGCGAAGGCGACUUUCUGGCCCUAUACUGACGCUGAGACGCGAGAGCGUGGGUAGCAAACAG